GUGGGUUUUAUCUGCUUGGCCUAAACCAGGGAUUGCCAGUCUGUGACCUUCCAGACAUGAUGAAAUUUGGCCUUUUAUCUAUUUAUUUUAUUUAUUAAAUUUAUAUAAUGCCCUUUGUCUUAAGAUCACGGGGCAGUUUGCAGCAUAAAAAUACAAAGUGAGAAUACAAAAUACAUACCAACCAACCAACCAACCAACCAACCAAACAAACAAACCAAUAACCUUGCCUUUCACAAGCACAUUGAAAAGGCCAUAGAUUGUUUAAUCAGCCAUAGGCUUGGUUAUAGAGGAACGUUUUCUCCUGGCGCCUAAAUAUAUGUAACGAAGGUGCCAGGCGAGCCUCCCUAGGGAAAGCUUUCCACAGGCGGGGAGCCACUGCAGAAAAGGUCCUUCUUCAUGAUGCCACGCUCUGGACCUCUCGUAGAGGAGGCACGUGAAGAAGGGCCUCAGAUGAUUAUUGCAGGGUCCAGGAAGGUUUAUAUGGGGAGAGGCAGUAAGCUAGUUUCUACACACACUCAUACUCUUCCAUCUAGACAAGCUAGAGAUGUUAUUAGAGCUCAAGGGCACAUCCCAGCCAGAAAAAAACAACACUCAAUGGGGGUGUGAAGCAAGGAUUGUGAGUGGCCUUGGGUGAGGUGGUGUGGCUGGAGAAGGGAUCUGGCAUGAGUUUCUGCCGCAAAAAAGCACAAACAAAUAAGGAAGUGGGAAAACUCAGUACAGUGGUACCUCAGGUUAAGUACUUAAUUUGUUCCGGAGGUCCAUUCUUAACCUGAAACUGUUCUUAACCUGAAGCUCCACUUUAGCUAAUGGGGCCUCCUGCUGCUGCCAUGCUGCCGCAGCACGAUUUCUGUCCUCAUCCUGAAGCAAAGUUCUUAACCUGAAGCACUAUUUCUGGGUUAGCGGAAUCUGUAACCUGAAGCAUCUGUAACCUGAAGCGUCUGUAACCUGAGGUACCACUGUAUCUGAAUCUGUGGUAUGUAUAGAGAGGCUUGAGCAUAAUUCUUUAUGUUUGGAUAAGUGAAUUCUUGUAUAGUGAACAGGCGGGUAGUGGGAGCUGUGUGUAUAUGGAAUUUAGUAGCUGUAAAGUGCAGUUGCAGUUAAUGUCACUAAUUGAUGCUAAUGAUAACAGUCACAUAAGAUGUACCAAACCAAUCCCAGGGUUUCUGCCUGCUCCUUCCUGAGCAGCACCCGCAACAGAACAUCACACAUUCCUCUGUGACAAGUCACCAAGGUAGGAACUGAUUAUUUUAUACUUUGCAAGAACUGUGCAUGUUGAUAGCGCUAUGGAAACCAGGGGUGACUAACAGUUUUUGGCUCAAGGGCCAUGUCCACCCUUGGCCAACCCUCCAGGGGUCACAGGUCAGGAAUGGGCAUGGCCAAAAGGGGGCGUGGCCAGUUUCAUUGUAAUACACACACAUCGGAUGUACAUGCACAAUUGCAGAGGCACACACAGGCCCUCUCCUCAGCUGAGCUGUGCAGAUCUGGCACUCAGGGCCGAGAGGAACCAAAUCCAUACACGGGCAAACUAUAGACGUUUGUGGUACUGGCUGCAUUAGUUGGAGACAAAGAGCCGCAGUGGAUCUUGCCUGCAGUUCUGACAACAACUCAGAGCUGUCUAUACUUAGCUCAUCUCAGACACACACCACAUUAUUCAGCUUGCUUCGGAAAAAUAAUUUUGUUAAAUUAUGUAGCUAAUAAACAAGAGAAGCCCAUUUGCAGAAUGAUAAACAGAAUUCUCUCUUCCUUAAAAAGUGAGUAAUCCCCCCCCUAGAAAAUAAUCAUUGCACACCAGAAACUCUAAAUUUGAUUAAUAGUGUCUAUUAUAUAUUGAUGGGGGGAAUAAUUACAUAUUAGUCCUGCAUUCUGAUUACCUGCGGAAGGUUCCACUUGUAAUAUAAUUAAGAGCAGCUCCUCUGGAGUUGUGGGCGGCUGGCUGUGUGUAUACACAUUCCCCCUGCUGAUGGAAAGUCGAGGCAUUAAUGAAGAAGGCCACGUUUUAAUUCCUGCGCUUCUAGUGCAAGGGAAUUAUUGUGAUUGCCCUACUUAUUUAUUUUAUUAAUGUAGCAGUGCCUUGAGUUCCUGGAUAGACAGGAAAUAGCUUUGGCUUGCAGAUCUUCAUUGGACAUGGAGAGUGGCUUCUCCAGAAGCCAUUUGCAAGACAAAGGCGAAUCACUGAGUUACUCCAUAAGGAAAAAAAUCCACAAGCGGCCAAUGCCUUUAUUGGGACUAGGUUUGGGGGAGAAAUUGAGUUUGGAUAGCACUUUAAGGCAAAUAGACCAGAUUUGUACUUUGGUGAACCAAAACCCAGCUAGCCUUAAAAAUCCACAGUUCUCUGAAUUUUGGGAUUAAGGGAGCAAUCCUGUGUACAGGAAGCUGGCAUAAAGUGUUGUUGUUUAGUUGUUUAGCCGUGUCCAACUCUUCGUGACCCCAUGGACCAGAGCACGCCAGGCACUCCUGUCUUCCACUGCCUCCCGCAGUUUGGUCAAACUCAUGCUGGUAGCUUCCAGAACACUGUCCAACCAUCUCGUCCUCUGCCGUCCCCUUCUCCUUGUGCCCUCCAUCUUUCCCAACAUCAGAGUCUUUUCCAGGGAGUCUUCUCUUCUCAUGAGGUGGCCAAAGUAUGUAGCCUCAGCUUCACGAUCUGUCCUUCCAGUGAGCGUAAAGUAAGUCGGUGUAAAUUAAGCCAAUGUAAAGUUACAUCAGAUCUGAUCCCCGUUCAGCAGUGGGACUGCUUCUGCUUUUCCUAAACCUGGCAGAAGGAAAACAAGCCUUUAAAAGAGUCUCUAAGCUAGAUUUCCAGGUCAUAUGACUUAGGUGCCCGUGGGGGUUGCCCGCCUAAAAUGGUAGCAGCCUUGAGUUAAGGGGAAGCCUUUCAAUGAAGGUUUAUACAGGCUGUGUAUCCACUUUUUAUUCACUCUUUAAAACACACAAACACAUUUUUAGCCUUUGUGGUUCCAUAGCCAGCUUGAAAAUGCAUUAGCGAAGUGUAUGAGAAUUGCCUUACUAGGUCAGACCAAGGUCAACAUAGUCUAAGCAUUCUGUUUCCAAUUUAAAAUAUCGUCUAAGGGUCAAACUGAAUGAGGCAAAAGAACGUAAGCAGCGGCUUGCUGGAUGAAAUCCGUGGGCCAUCUAAAUAAUAGACUAUAGACAAAAUACAAACAGGCAAAUCUUGGGUCCGGACGGCAUUUUACCCCAGACCUCUCAAACAACUCAGAUGUGACAUUGCUGAUCUUGUAACAAAAAUAUAUAACUUGUCCCUCAGAUCAGCCUCUAUACCUGAGGACUGGGAAGUAGCUAUGUAUCACCCAUUUUUAAAAAGGGAUCUGGGGGGUCCUGGAUAGUACAGGCAGCUUAACGUCUGUCCUGGGAAAAUUGGUGUGAAGUAUUGUUCAAUGACAAACCUAGACAGCAUCUUAAAAAGCAGAGACAUCACCUUGCCAGCAAAGGUCCGUAUAGUUAAAGCUAUGGAUUUCCCAGGAGUGAUGUAUGGAAGUGAGAGCUGGAGCAUAAAGAAGGCUGAUCGCCAAAGAAUGGAUGCUUUUGAAUUAUGGUGCUGGAGGAGACUCUUGAGAGUCCCAUGGACUGCAAGAAGAUCAAACUGAUCCAUUCUGAAGGAAAUCAGCCCUGAGUGCUCACUGGAAGGACAGAUCCUGAAGCUGAGGCUCCAAUACUUUGGCCACCUCAUGAGAAGAGAAGACUCCCUGGAAAAGACCCUGAUGCUGGGAAAGAUGGAGGGCACAAGGAGAAGGGGACGACAGAGGACGAGAUGGUUGGACAGUGUUCUGGAAGCUACCAGCAUGAGUUUGACCAAACUGAGGGAGGCAGUGGAAGACAGGAGUGCCUGGCCUGCUCUGGUCCAUGGGGUCACGAAGAGUUGGACACGACUAAAUGUCUAAACAACAACAAUAGCAACAACAUUGUUCAAGAUGAAAUAGCCAUGCAUAUAGAAGAACAAGCCCUACUGAAGCCGAGUCAGCAUGGCUUCUGAAAGGGCAAGUCUUGUCUCACAAACCUAUUAGCGUUCUUUGAGAGUGACACCAAGUAUAUAGAUAGAGCUUGACAGAGUUCCCUUGAACUUUCAAAAAGCUUUCAACAAACUACCUCACCAAAGACUCCUGAGUAAGCUUAGCAGUCAAGGAAUAAGAGGAGAGGUCCUCUUGUGGAUCAGGAACUGGGUAAGUUGCAGAAAGCAAAACAUAGGAAUAAAUGGGCAGUUCUCUGAAUGGAGAGAUAUCAUAGAGUUGGAAGGGACCCUGAGGAUCAUAGAGUCCAACCCUCUGCAAUGCAAGAAUAUGCUGCUGUCCCUUACGGGGAUCAGACCUGCAACUCUGGAAUUAUCAACACCAAGCUCAGACCAACUGAACUAUCCAUUUAAUGUGGAAAGUGAAGUCCCCGUAAAUCAAUACCGGGACCUUUUUAACUUGUUCAUAAACUGGUUAGGAGUGAACAGUGAAGUGGCCAAGUUUGAUGAUGGUUCAGGGUUGUUAAAACAAACAUAGAUUGCGAAGCGCUCCCAAAGGACCUCUGCAAAGCGAGUUGAUAGAUGGUUAAAUGACAAAUGCGAUUCAGCAUCAACAAGUGCACCGUGAUGCAUGCCAGGACCAAAAGACCUUAAUUUCACAUAUAUGCUCGUGGAGUCUGACUCGGCGGCGACUGACCAGGAACGAGAUCUUGGUGGUCUGCAUCACAGCAGUUAAAACGGUAGCUGCUGGUUGCCAAGUCAGGCAGAGUUGUCUAAUUAAUUUUGCCUCAAUUUCCAGAAAGGAAAUGAUAUUGCAGAAGGAGACAGCUACAGGGCAGGAUCCAGUAAUGAGGGUCAAGAUGCAACGAGCCCCUUGAGCAGUAAAAGCCCUUCUAGAGGCAUACAAAGACCAGAGUAAAACACAUCAGCAACAGCAGCUCAAAAUACCCAGGUUAAAAAGCCGGUAUUUAAGAGGAAUACGUCUGCUACUGCACCACACUCUGGCACUGUCAAGUGCGUGAGUGUGUGGGAUUUGAGGAGCUGCCAUCUCUGAAGGACAGUGGCAAGUGACAAACUUCAUCCAGGGGAAAGGAGAUCAAGACAGGACAUGUUAUAAAUACAGUGGUACCUUGGUUCUCAAACGCUUUGGUUCUCAAACUCCAAAAACUUGGAAGUGUGUCGGUGCUAAACUUCAUUUCAUUUGUCUUUGCUUGCAAUUAUUGUAGGCAUUUUGUUUCUUAUAAUAUAAUAUUGAUCGUAACGAUAAGGGUUUGUAACCAAUGUGAGUCCUGCUCGGAGUAGACCCAUUGAAAUGACUAGACAUAACUAACUUGUGUCCAUUAAUUUUAGUCUACUCUUGAGCAGAACUUGCAUGCAUUCAACUCAUUGUUAGCUAUACAAAUCUACGUUUGAUUAUAAAUUUAUCUUUUUUUUAAAAAAGCAGAUGGUUAUUAAGAUUCUUGGAGUGAAUAAGAACAUGGAAGAGCAGAGAGAGAGUGAAGACAGGAAGCAAACCGGUGCAAGAAUCUCUUUAGCAUCCUUUAGCAAAGCUGCAUGCCAAAGGUUAUGACAGCUUCUUGGUGUAGAGAUUUUAUGGGAAGUCUGUUGGUGGGUACCUGUUUCUGCCAUUUCAAAGACCAGAGUGGAUGAAGAAUAAUUUCGAGGGACUGUAUGGGAGGAAAGGCUUUAAUCCACUACUAAUUAAGGCAAAAGAGAAAAUAAGGGUAGCUACCAUGAAAGAGGGCCAGCUGCGAUGUACCACAUAGUAUGUAAGGAAUCCAACUAGACUUUUGACUUCUUUUUAUUUGAGAUCUGGCCAAGCACUGAGAGAACAGAUUGGAAUGCCAAAUGAUGGGAAUAUGAGUUCUAAUUGUUUGUGCAAAUGUCAGUUUUCAAGAUUCCUGUUUUUUAAAGAAGAUGCGCAGGUAAUUGGCAAGCCCAUGUUUCAUUGCUAUGUUUCACUGACAGGUAAGAUGUGAUUGCUUUCAGCAGCAUUUAUUUGCCUCCUCCUCUCCUUUUUAUCUUUUUUUAAAAAAAGCAUCCUUGUGAAAAUGUUAGGUCAACCGCCGGCCAUCAGAGUGUGCUUCAGGAGACGAACGCAUGCUGCGAUGUCUUGUUAUGAAAUGUUUAUGUUCAGAGCAAAUGGAUACGGUUUAUUAUUCCUCGUCUUCUGUGAAUGAUCUUUGGAGUGGGUGGUAGCAAAUAUUCUUUAAACAGAAUGGGCUUGCUUGUUUUAAUGGUGCAAUAGCUGCCCUGGGGCUAAGCUAUAUUUCUGGAAAAGUCAAUAUAGCACCUGCCAGAUCUUGCUGGACUGCAGCAUCCAUCACCCCUAACCAUUGGCCAUGCUGAUCAGAUGAUGGGCCACAACAAUAGCAUCUGAUGAGUACCAUAUUGGCAACCUCUCCUAUAUCUGAUGGUGGCAGAGCUGUGCUUCUAAAUAUGGAUAAAUCUGCAGUGCAGAAUUGUAUGUGAGAGGGUGAAGUUUAAAAGGGAGUUGUAUUGCAGGAAAGAAUGCUGAAUAUGGCCCUCAUUUAUUUCCCAACCACCCCGCUGUAUCCCUGAGUUAAUCCCCAGAAGCGAGCACAUCUGGAAGAAAAACAGCUGUUGGGAAGGGCUGAAGAGGUGUGGGAUGGGCUCAUAUCCAUCUGUCCAUGGUUUAAAUUGCUGGGUUGGCAUUGAUAAUAAUUUUUCACUGCUUCUUAUUAUCAAUUAUAUAGUAUUUUGUAUUGCAUAUCAUUAUGGAUUAUAUUUACCGUACUUUUCCGUCUAUAAGACGCCCCCAUGUAUAAGACACCUCCUAUUUCUGGGGACUCAAAUUUAAGAAAAUGGAGGGAAAUUGCCCAGAGUUGUUGAGCUUUUUUUGGGGAGAAUUGCAGAAAAUCGCUCACCAGAAUGACCAGUGCAGACAACAGCACAUGUCGUGGAAGCAGCCUCUCACCUGUGUGCUCGCUGCCAGCAGUCCUGAAUCACUCGCUUGAUUGCCGCAGGGGCAGCCAAUCAGCAGCAGCCCUUGCCGCAGCCACCAAUCAACUGUCAAAACGCCCCUGACAAUCUCCAGCUCCCAGCUGCAAUCAGUUGCACGUCACAGCACUCCACUACCCAUGUAUAAGACGAACCCCAAUUUUUGACAUUGUUUUUGGGUCAAAAAACCUCGUGUUAUACACAGAAAAAUACAGUAUAUAGCCGUUUUAAUUUUUUGCAUGUUAUCAUUAUAUUAGGAGGGACACGGGUGGCGCUGUGGCCUAAACCACAAAGCCUAGGGCUUGCCGAUCAGAAGGUCGCUGGUUCAAAUCCCUGCAAUGGGGUGAGCUCCCGUUGCUCAGUCCCAGUCCUGCCAACCUAGCAGUUCGAAAGCAUGUCAAAGUGCAAGUAGAUCAAUAGGUACCACUCCAGCGGGAAGGUAAAUGGCAUUUUCGUGUGCUGCUCUGGUUCGCCAGAAGCAGCUUAGUCAUGCUGGCCACAUGACCCGGAAGCUGUACGCUGGCUCCCUUGGCCAGUAAAGCGAGAGUCGUCCGCAACAGGACCUAACGGUCAGGGGUCCCUUUACCCUUUACCUUUUAUCACUAUAUUAGGGGAAAUGGGAAUGCCUGAAGAUGGCUUCUAAGGAUGUUUAUCCAAACAUAUGACUGGGAAACCUGCGUUGUCAGGGGUCCUGGUUGUCAACUUCAGACGAACACUUUUGGGAUCUCCUCUUCAGACUUUUCCGUUCAACACAGGAAGGUCAAAAGUGGAAUAGGUUCAACCAGGGUACAUAGAUGCUAGGAGCAGAGCCAGCAAGUACCCCCUCUGGAACUCCUGCACACUUUAUGCCUUCACAUUUUGUUUUGAAUAGAUGAAGAGGGCUUAUAUUUGUUGCUGCUGGGAUGUUAAUUGCUCAGAACUGGAAACCAGCCAAAAAUCCCAGAAUUUACUGAAAGGCUUUAUAAUAUCUGGGAGAUUGACUUUUUGUGCAAACAAAUGCUGGACAGGGAAAUAGAAGUCUCUUCAGAACUUUGCAAAUGGCUGGUCUUUAUUUAUUCAGUGCUGGAAUGCAAAGUUUCCUCAAAUCAAGGUAAAUACCCAUGUCUUACCCAAGUGGAUUUUUCUUUUUUUACUUUGACUUAUUUUAUAAUUGAGGUCUUGAUUGAUACCUCCUCCUGAUAGAUAUAUCUAUUUUCAAAGACAUGUUAGUCCAUUUUAUGGCAAUAAUUUAUCUUAUUCUUUAUUUGUUUUGUUCUCUGUUGAUUCUAGAUCAGCAAUGGGCACCACCCAUUGUUGCAUUCCAACUCUCAUCAGCCCCAUUCAAUGGUCAGGGAUGAUGGGAGUUGUAGUCCAAAAAUAUCUGGAGGGCCAUUGGUUCCCCUGCCCUUGGUGAGGGUGGUUGUUAGUGUUGUGCACAACUGUGGUUUUAUAAUUGUUGGGAGCCGGCCAGAGUAGCUGGGGCAAUCCAAUCAGAAGGGUGAUGUUGUUGUUGUUGUUCCAGGGCAUUUUGUGUGUAAGCGAAAGAGGGAUGGGUGAAUCUCCCAUUCCAGCUUCUCUUAGCUUCUCAUUUCCCAAUUUUAACUUGACUUCUCCACAUUUCCAGUCUUUGCAAAAAUUCACCAGCAUUUUAGUGCAAAUUUCUCCUAGAUCACAGAUUUUACCCUGCUACAUUCAUUUUUGUACACAAUCCAUGACUGCAGAGCUGCACUAGAAAAUUCAGGGAAGAGCAAAUUUCAAAAGAUGGCUGUAUGUCAGUUCUCACAUUGCUCUGGAACUUUGCUGAAUUUCUCCUCCAGCCUUGGCAUGAAAUGUUAGCCACCACAGAAGAAAAUGCUACAGGCAGAGAAAAAAUAAGCUUUAUAUUUUGGUCAGGAAGGCAGGGAAUAUGAGUUGAGGGGAAAAAUAUCGGAAAAUUUCUCCGAAAUUUUUUUUGGCCCAGCUACAGAUUGCACUGGAAGGACAGAUCAUGAAGCUGAGGCUCCAAUACUUUGGCCGCCUCAUGAGAAGAGAAGACUCCCUGGAAAAGACCCUGAUGGGGAAGAUUGAGGGCACAAGGAGAAAGGGACGGCAGAGGACGAGAUGGUUGGACAGUGUUCUCGAAGCUACCAGCAUGAGUUUGACCAAACUGCGGGAGGCAGUGGAAGACUGGAGUGCCUGGCAUGCUCUGGUCCAUGGGGUCACAAAGAGUCGGACACGACUAAACGACUAAACAACAACAACAACAGAUUGCUCACCAUUCUUUCUGUAUUGUUUUCCUUUCAUUAAUUAAUAUGCUGAGUUAAAAACCGAGAAGCACCCCACAUGCGGAGAGUUCUUUAUACUUUCUAUCUUCAAGGAAACCUUUCCAUAUCAACUGAUCGCUGCCAGCUUGGAGCUCUGCCACACAUGCUGUGGAACCCCUGGGAACCGGGGAAGAAAUCCGGAGCCUGUUCUAGGAUGCACAGUCAUUUCAUGCAGAGUGUGGGCCAAGCCUAAGUAUUGCCCCAGAAGAAUGGAGAGUGCAUUCUGGAAUGUGUCCAAAACUCCCCUGGGGCUGCAAACUGCAGGGAAGACUCAAAAGCAGUAGGCGGACUGCCUUUCAGUGAUGCUUGCCAGCUAUUAGGGAUCAUCUCCCUGAGGAACCCAUGUCAAACUUCCAAGGGCUCCUGGGAGCACAGCUUGAAAAAUAAUGCUCUGCCACAUGUUGUGGGGUCCCAGCUAGGAGCCCCACCUACAGACUCCCCAUGAACAGAUGGUGAGAAGAAAGGUGCAGGAUCUUACUCCGGAGAGCACGCAAAGGAAUCAUGCCAGAUAGAAAAUGUUCAACAGCAUAAGUGAAUGGGUUUUUGAAGCUAGUUGGUUGACAGUGCAAUUACUGCAAUGUGUUGUAUGCCUCUGAAGACGGUCAGGGAACUUCAGCUGGUGCAGAAUUUGGCAGCCAGGUUGUUUGCCAGGGCAAGACAGCUUGAGCAUAUAAUGCCAAUCUUGUCCUGAUUGCACUGGCUGCCGAUUAGUUUCUGGGCCCAAUUCAAAAUGCUGGUUUUUAAUAAUGAUGAUGAUAAUAAUAAUAAUAAUAAUAAUAAAAGUAAUAAUAAUUUAUAUAUAUCCCGCCCUCCCCAGCUGAAGCUGGGCUCAGAGCGGCUAAAAAGAAUAAAAGUAACACAGCAUUCUAAAAUCAAUUCAUUCUAAAAUCAAUUCAAAAUCAAAUUAAUGGCAACCAUUGGGCUAGAGUUCUGUGAGGAUUACCAAAGGAGGGGGUCAGACUGUGCCUUAGCCAAAGGCCUGGUGGAACAGCUCUGUCUUGCAGGCCCUGCGGAAAGAUGUCAAGUCCCGCAGGGCCCUAAUCUCUUGUGGCAGAGCAUUCCACCAGGUCGGAGCCACAGCCAAAAAAGCCCUGGCUCUGGUUGAGGCCAGCCUAACCUCCCUGUGGCCUGGGAUCUCCAAGAUGUUUUUGUUUGAAGACCGUAAGGUCUUCCGUGGGACAUACCAGGAGAGGCGGUCCCGUAGGUAUGAGGGUCCUAGGCCCACGAAACCUUAAAUGGCUCAGAACCGCAAUAUCUCAAGGACUGCCUCUCCCGAUAUGAACUGACCUGACCCUGUGCAUUUUUGUAUCUCAUGUUCACACACACACAGAACUGCAUUGCUAGAUUGGGGAAAGUGCAAAUUUCGAGAGAUAGCUUUAUUCUUGUUUGUGUCUUGUUCUGAAAAGUGAAGAUUAGGUAAGGUCACCUUUCAACGUAAACAGAAUCACAUUUGUCCCCCGUCUCUUGUGGCAGGUUUUCCCCUAAGCAUCAUAAAGUAUUGGGUCUGCCCUGGGCAAAUUUUGAGUCUCUCAGCAGCAGCCUCAGAGCUGGUCGAGGCCAAAGCGUGAACAUCGUCUGGGUGGGAACUGUAUCCUAAAGAGUAGGUGCUUGAUAAGACGCUGUUACUAUCAGGGACAAAAAGAGCUAAGGCUGGCAACUUAAACACGAAAAAAGAAAAAUAGGGGUUUUGUUUGUUUGUUUUUAAACUGCUUAUCAUUUGGCGUUGUUAUGAAUAAUGUAUUACUUGUUUAACACUGCUACUGUGCUUAGGCUUGCGUGGGUAGCAUUCAUUGCAGGAUAGGAAAAUGCAAUUAUUAAAAACAGUUCCAUUAAAACUGUACAUUUGUUUUUGAAUCAGCUGUGUCUUUUAAACCUCAUUAAUUAAAUUAAGGUCUGUCGUACCUGAUAAAUUAUGAUACCAGAGCCAUCAAAGCUUUCUUCACAGUUGAGGAUGGGGCAGUUUAUGUAGCACGAACCCAAGGACUGUUCCUUAGGAUGGUUACCUUUGGGGUGUUUCUAUGUAAGGAUUGCAUUUAGACUCAUGGUACAUCUGGAUAAGGAUGGAGGGAAACCCCCCCCCCCAUUUCUGUUCCAUGGUCGCAUCCAUGCCAUACACCAUGCCUUUCAAGAACACUUAAAGCACAUGACAUGCUCCAAAGAAUUCUGGGAAUUGCUCUUUACCCCUAAGGCAGCUACAGUUCCCAGCACCCUUAACAAAGAAUAGGAGUGUGUGAGAGAUCGUGCGGCAUGGUCACACUCACCACGGGUGUGUGGUUCCUGGAGGGUUGACGAAGGGUGAAUAUUAUUGGUUAUUGAGUUUACAUACUGUCCUUUUUUUUCAAAAUGUCAGCCUGGAUAGCUCGGUUGGUUACAGUGUGGCACCGAUAAUGGCAAGAUUGCAAGUUCGAUCCCCGUAUGGGACAGCUGCAUAUUCCUGUAUUGCAGAAGGUUGGAUGAGAUGAUCCCCAGUUCUACAAUUCUGUGAUUCUAUGAUUCUAUCCCAGACACUGAGAUCCAGCACAGAGGGCCUUCUGGCGGCUCCCUCAUUGCAAGAAGUGAGGUUACAGGGAACCAGACAGAGGGCCUUCUCGGUGGUGGCGCCCGCCCUGUGGAACACCCUCCCUUCAGAUGUGAAGGAAAUAAGCAGCUAUCCUAUCUUUAAAAGACAUCUGAAGGCAGCCCUGUUUAGGGAAGUUUUUAAUAUUUAAUGCUGUAUUGUUUUUAACACUUGAUUGGGAGCCGCCCAGAGUGGCUGGGGAAACUCCGCCAGAUGGGUGGGGUAUAAAUAAAUUAUUAUUAUUAUUAUUAUUAUUCUACAUACAGCGAGCGGCCACAGAAUGCUGCCUUUGAGUGAAAAGGUUAGAUAUGUUUGCCAUGAAAUUAACAUUAGUGUCCAGAACAAUGCACGUGUUUACAGAAGAGACAGGGAACCUGUGGAUAUUCAGUGUUGCUAGACUGUAUCUCCCAGUAUCUCUGACGCUUUGCAACGAUGAUUUGGGCCAAUGGAAGUUGGAAACCAGCAGCAUUCCCCCAUUCCUGGUCUAGAGCAUGCCCCAAUGUGACUCACAAAUACUAGGCUUUGUUUGCACUGGCAGAAUGCAUGCGGACUGAGGAUCAAAACGUUUUCAGAUGGAUUCAAUGUGGAAUUAACCAUCAGUGGAAGAUUUCCAUAUUAAAGCUAUACAGAGUCCUUUGCAAACAGAUCCAAACAUGUUUACUCUUUUCCAGGUGGAGCUCAUUGGAACUGUCUGCCAACGGGAUUUCAGACUAAAUUGAAAAUGGUUUUUCCCCCUUAGAAACCCACUUGGAACUCUGGCGCUGACCUCCAGUUUUUAUUAUCAUUACUAUUAUAAAGUUUUUUCAGUUAUACAAAAUAAUGUGAAAAUGAAGAAGAAGAAAGUGUAAUACAAUCAUACCUCGGGUUGCAGCCACUUCUGGUUGCGUUUUUUCGGCUUGUGGACCGCCGAAACCCAGAAGUACUGGAACGGGUUACUUCCGGGUUUCAGCAGUAGCGCAUGCGCAGAAGUGCUAAAUUGCGCUUUGUGCAUGCGCAGAAGCGCCAAAUUACAACCCGCGCGUGCGCAGACGUGCAGCUGUGGGUUGCGAAUGUGCAUCCCACAUGGAUCACGUUCGCAACCCGAGCGUCCACUGUAUAUGCUACUAUAUGUAGGAUUCUUAUAUAUACUAAUACAUACAGUAGUACCUCGGUUUAAGAACAGUCCUGUUUAUGAACGAUUCAGUUUAUGAACUCCGCAAAACCGGAAGUAGUGUCUUGGUUUGCAAACUUUACCUUGGUCUACGAACGGAAACUGAACAGUGGAAGGGCACUGGCAGCGGGAGGCCUCAUUAGGGAAAGUGCGCCUCAGUUUAAGAAUGGAUUUGGUUUAAGAACAGACUUGCGGAACGGAUUAACUUUGUAAACAAAGGUACCACUGUAUACGAUUAUUAAUAACCUACUAUAUUCUGUGUAAACUCAUUCCAAAUAUCAAUAUAUUUAUCCAAACAAAGUCUGCGCCUAUAAGCAAUCGGUUCACGUGUUGCAAGUGCUGUCAUGCCUCUAAUCCAUUGAUUAAAGGGGAUCAUAUUUUUGUUUUUCCAGUUCAUCAAUACUAGUCUUUUGGCCAUAGUUAGGGUACGUACGGUCAUACCUUGGUUCCUGAACGUAAAGACUCUCCUCCCUGCAAGAGAGGGGAGUGGUUGUGGCCGGGAGCCGGACUCCGCCUCAAGCAGGGGGCGUUUGCCCCCUGCCUCCCACCCACCUGGCUGGCGCCCACGCCCUCGGCCAGGCACCCAACCAGGUGCCUUCAAGGGGGCGUGUACAGCAGCCUAAAUUGCUGCGGCGCCAGCCUCCAGCCCUCACUUUUUGUCGUCCCGUCGCGAGUGGGGGUUAGACGACCUGAACAGAUUCUAGAAGUCCAUUUGAAAACCAAGGCACGACUUCCGAUUGGCUUCAAGAGCUUCCUGCACUCAACCGGAAGCCGAGUUGGAAGUUCAAGUUCCAAAGAAUUUUCGCAAACUGGAACACUCACUUCUGGGUUUGUGGCAUUCGGGAGCCAAAAGGUACGAGUACCAGGGCAUUCGAGAACCAAGGUACAACUGUACUGUGUUUCGUCUGGGGGCAUGUUGUGUGCUACCUUGGCUGUCUGAUAGUGCAGACCCAGGUCACUGAGCCGGAGCUUCUACAGCCGCCUCUUGCCAUGAACCCCCAUUGGCAAGAUUGCCAGCAACAGCAGCAGAUAUGUCCUAUGCUUAAGAUGAUCUUUUAUUCUCUUGCUAGUUAUGCUAUUUCAAAUGUGCAUUUUAUACAUCCUUUAGUGAUGUUAUCUUUUGAAAAAAGACAUGUUUGGGGUAGCUUUGCUGUGUUAAGUAUGCGUUCUGUAGUUGACCUCCUUUGUACUGUUUUCUUUUGAAAACUUUGAAGAUAAUAUUUUAGCUUCCUGUUAAAUAAUUUGCUUUGAACGUGUGCUUUAUAUUUGACUUUCUUUUCAGUAAUGUUUUAUUCGGGAUUGAUUUAUCUGAUGCUGUAAACUGCUUUGAGGGUUUUUUUUCUUAAAAAAAUAAAGUGAUAUAGAAAUAAUAAUAAUAAUAAUAAUAAUAAUAAUAAUAAUAAUAAUAAUAAUUUCAUCAUCCCCUGUUUAUUUUCCAAAACAUUGUGCCCCAGAGUGUCACAAUCCUUUUUUUAUGGACAGUGAUAUAUUACUAAAAUAAAUAAAUAAACAAAUAAACAAACCCAAACUCGGAGCCAAGAGCAGCUGAAUAAAUCAUGUAAAGUAAGUUCAAUUCCAUGUUUGUUUACUUUGUAUAAUUUAUUCUCCUCCUGCUAGCCAGAGGGGAUAUCAGCACUGAAGCCUCACCUCCUGACUUACGUCUUGAAUAGAGAUGUGUACAUGUCUACUAAAAAAUAAGCCCACUGAGUUCAGUGAGAUUUCACUAGCAGGUAAGUGGGUAUAAGCUUGCAGAAAGUUCCGGGCAACAUUAGUACCAUACAUUUAACAGUGUUAUUUUUCUAGAAAAAGAAGUGUUGGAACUCAACCUGAACAUCUCCCUUGUUCUCUUAUAAUGGCAAGGGUGCCCACCUGAGAGAUGCCAGAACUGAGUUCUGGAGAGCUCCAGCUGAAAAAAAGACCUACAUCCGCACCAAGGGUCAGAAGCAAUAGACAAAAUCGAUAAUUUCCUAUACAGUGGUACCUCGGAUGAAGUACUUAAAUCGUUCCGGAGGUCCGUUCUUAACCUGAAACUGUUCUUAACCUGAGGUACCACUUUAGCUAAUGGGGCUUCCCACUGCCACUGUACGAUUUCUGUUCUCAUCCUGAAGCAAAGUUCUUAACCCGAGGUACUAUUUCUGGGUUAGCAGAGUCUGUAACCUGAAGUGUCUGUAACAUGAAGCGUAUGUAACCCGAGGUACCACUGUAUACUUAUUUAUCAGCUAAAGUAGCAGAGUCUAAAAUCAGUAUUCAUUCACUGACCGUUGCUGUCACCACGACCUGUCUUGUCCUCAUUGCCAUAAAACAGAAUUUCUUGACAGCCCUUGUGACAUCUGGGUCUUUGUCAGCAAGAAAGUGUUCAACAUAGGUUUCCUCUGAGCAGCCAGACACAAACUCAUAAAAUGCAAUUUUUAGCAGUGGUUCCUGCAUUUCAGGUGACUGGAGCAGAUGAUUCUUGGGGUCCCAUCCAACUCUACAGUUCUGUGAUUCUAUGAAAACAAGUUUUGUGGCACCUUAAAAAAUAAAAACAAACAUAUUGUGCCAUUAGCCUUCAGGAAUUAGAACCCACUUUGCCAGAUUCAUGAAUAGUUAUUCUUUCUUGUCAGGUGUGUGAGUGUGUGUGUUGGGUUUGGAUUGCUUCAAUAAUGAUCAUCAAAACACUACUAAACCUUAGGUUACGCAAAUACAAUCCUAGUAACAACACACAUAACAUAACAGCCUGUUUUUGACUAUGUAACUUCUAUUUCAAACACAAUUCAACACAUAAUAUCUCACAAUGUGUAUCUCACAAUGUGUAAUUCCAUAGACCAACACAUCAUGCAAACAGAACACAUCCUGAGAAAUUAAAUAUUGGCAUAUUGGCAAUAACCACAAUAUGGUAAGCAUACCAUAUUGUGGUUAUUGCCAAUAUGCCAAUUUAGGAACUGAAUGGACUUUAUCUCCUGACCAUCCAUUGGACUUUAAUUUCUCAGGCUAUGUUCUGUUUGCAUGAUGUGUUGGUCUAUGGAAUUACACAUUGUGAGAUACUAUAUGUUGAAUUGUGUUUGAAAUAGAAGUUACAUAGUCAAAAGCAGCCUGUUACGUUGUGUGUGUUGUCAAUAAUGAUAAUCAACAACAGUUACAAAGGCCUUUUGGUUUCCCAUGGGUUGGCCAUAGUAGCAGUGCCCGCCCUGUGGGACACCCUCCCAUCAGAUGACAAACAGCUAAACAGCUAACUGAUUUUUAGAAGACAUCUGAAGGCAGCCCUGUUCCGGGAAGUUUUUAAUGGCUGAUGUUUUAUUGCAUUUUUAAUAUUUUGUUGGGAGUUGCGCAGAGUGGCUGGGGCAACCCAGUCAGAUGGGUGGCAUAUAAAUAAUAAAGUUGUUGUUGUUGUUGUUGUUGUUGUUGUUGUUGUUGUUGUUGUUGUUGUUGUUAAUAGAUGGGUCUUUGGUCUGAUCCAGCAGAGCUCUUCUUAGGUUUUUAACCCACCCUCAAAGCUCUGAUUGACCAAGCUUUUGUGCAUCUUGGCGACUUCUGAUUUCAAAGAUCCUUGAGAGAAAGGAACAGCGUGUGGAUUGUCAUAAGCCAUCUGGCAAAGGACUGGCAGAUAAACCUCUCAGAUCGUUCAGCACAGAUACAGAUUCUCCAUCGUCUAACACCAGAAAGCGGCAUCUUGCGUGCGACUUGGAAGGCGCUGCCCUGCUCUGCCGAAGCAAGGGGAUGCACAGAGGCCAAGCUUGAAAUCCUGCGCGCCGUUCCGUUUGACAAAUGGCGUGCUAAAAAUGGAAAGCACAGAACAGAAGGCAACCAGUAGGAUAAAAAAAGAAGAAGACACACACAUAGAAAGAGAGACUUUGGUUCUUCAGGAAGGAUGGAGAGGGGAGCAAAGGAAUCCCAACAGCAAAGCCUUCGAAAACCGAGAGCUGAACAGAGGGACCUCGUUAAGGUAAACAAAAAUUUCAUAAGGGGAGCAGAAAAGAUAAACGCUACCUGGGUUAUUAUUAGCUCACGUCAAAUACGGGAGCAGCAGGGAUGUGCACUUCAGAUACAGUGCAAGAGCUUCGCAGAGUUUAAGUGGAAUUCCUUGCACAGAAUGCGGUUAAUAGAUGGAAUGUGGCAUUGCUGGCAGCAUGAGAAACAAUCAAGCUAAACAGCCUGCAGAGCUAUUAGAGGGUGAAAUACAUAUUGUGGAAUGAGAGACAACAGGCCUGCCCAUCCUCGUCUGUGUGUUUACUUAGAAGUCAGCUCCACUGAAACCAGCAGGGCUUGAUCCCAAAGACGUAGGCGCAAAACGGCAGCCUCAGAGGCAGAAGGAACCAAAAUAGGAAAUCUGCUGCUGGCAGAAUAGUGGCUGUUAUAUUUAUUUAUUUGUUUGUGGCUUUCCCCCCCUUCAGAACCCUGAAAUGCUCUUGAUCUGGCUGUUGAAAGGAUGACCGACUAUUGUGGGUAGAGAACAAAAAGGCUAACGGAGGACGAAUGGAAUGCAGAAGCAUGAAAAAGGUCCUGGCUGGCCAGACCCCUGAAAGACAGUGCAUUCCACGCUGCAAUGUCUUGUUGCAGGCCCCACUCGCUUUGUCGAUAACAAAUGUCAGAUUCACGGGUGCGAGUGUUUAAUGAUGUUGGGCAUACAACGACCGCGGCGCUCUUUUCGUCUGCCUGAAACAUCUGCAAUAAUGUCCUGAAAGGAUUUCUGGGCAUUUUGCUGUGUGGAAAACAUACUUCACCUCUGCUAUUUGGUGGAGUAAUAUGGUUAUUUGCUAUUGGUAUUUCUUACUACAUUUCUGCUGUUAUUCUCAGGGCUUGGAAAAUGCAGCUGAUUGAUUCCCGCCCCCGCAACGUGGUAGGCCAAUCCCGUGAUUGUAAUAAGGGCCAACUGCUGGAGAAGUAUUGGGAUGAACCAUUGAUUAAGUUGACACCGUAAUCUAUUUUCCUGCGCAUCGCAGGCUGAAUUUACAGUCCGUGUACACCCACAUUACUGACACAUUGUUCUGUGUGAAUAAUCUUGCUUGGGCGACUUUGCCUGUGCUCGGCUUUUAUUAAUAUUAGAAUACCGCUCGGAACUCUUGAACAGAAUGAAAGGGGAGGCUGAAGAAAUUAUACCAAAGCUUGCUUUUUUUUUUAAGGAACAGGAGGAAGUACAAUGGGGAGAAAUGACAUAGAUGUUCAAAAUGGCUGCCUGAAAAAGCCGCAUUUUCCAAACAGAAAGGCAACAGUUGCAAUCCAGGUCGGCAACUUUGAUAGGUUGCUCUAAGCAGUCCUUUUUCGGGGGGGGGGGGGGAAAGCAGGGGUACGCAUACCCCUAAACAUUUUGUGAAUCCAAAAAAAAGAAACUAAAAAACUAAAACUAAACUAAACUAAAAAAAAAUGAAAAUUUUUAGUUUCUUCUCUAGCACGGUGAAUCAUUAGUUCCGUUGCUACGACUGAUGGUGGCCUCAUUUCUUAUCAUGGUGUUUCCUAAGUCUCAGACAGAAGUGAAUGUUUAAUGUGUGAAGCAGGAGUUGGAAUCUAGCACGGUGAUUGGUCAGUUUCGUUGUUACCACCUCCGAUGGCGGCUUCAUUUCCUUUCCCAGUGCUUCCUGAGUUUCAGUUGGAAGUGAGCGUUUAAUGUGUGAAGCAGUGUGGAAUGCAUCUAAACACUGUAGCCAACUUAAUGUUUAUAAAAUUGGUACGUCCUCCUUUGUGUUUGUUUAAGCCUUCAGUGUAUGGUUUUUGAAAGGACGACAUCUGGCGACAGACACCAACAGCAAACAGAGGAAUCGGGAAGAUGUUAGUGCACACAACCUCAUGCCAAUGUGGAAGUUACUGUGAGCUGUCAGCUGUGUAACAUGAGGUAAUGCAUGUUCUUUGGACUUUUGUCCAUUUACUGUAUUUAUUUUCCCCGAUUUGAACUAGAAAAUGGUGAUUUUCUUGAGUCAAAAUGGAAGUACCCCUAAUUUUUUAUUUAUUUUUUAGAGGAAGAAAGCACUGGUUUUAAGGUACUUACUUAUCUCAUGACAGUUCUUGCCAGCACCUGCAAUUCUGUAAAUAUGGCUUUUGGAUUUCAUUUUGUGUUGAUGUUUUACUUACGUUAUGACUCAUAAGCUGUAAGAUGAAUGCAGACAAGCUGAGAUGUGGAUGUCCAAAUCACACAAAAUCCUAGCCAGGAGGGCUAUACUCUGCUUCCUUAGUUGGAGUCUGUAGUGCUUCUGAGUACCAGUUGUUGAAAGCCACAGGAUGCACUCAAAUCCUGCUUUGGGUUUCCCUCAGGCAUCUGGUUGGUCACUGUGAGAACAGGAUUCUGGACCAGAUGGGCCGCUGGCCUGAUCCAGAGGGCUUUUCUGGUGUUCUUAAAAUGAAAUGACAAAAACCCUAAAAUGAAAACUAACACAAAUGCAUUUUGAUUUAAGGUCUUCUUUAGUGGUUUCUGGCAAAGAUAAAGGUAAAGGUAAAGG